GAUGAACGCUAGCGGCAGGCUUAAUACAUGCAAGUCGAGGGACAGCACAGGUAGUAAUACUGGGUGGUAACCGGCAAACGGGUGCGGAACACGUACACAACCUUCCUUUAAGCGGGGGAUAGCCCAGAGAAAUUUGGAUUAAUACCCCGUAAUAUAGUUGAAUGGCAUCAUUUGAUUAUUAUAGCUACGGCGCUUAAUGAUGGGUGUGCGGCUGAUUAGAUAGUUGGCGGGGUAACGGCCCACCAAGUCUACGAUCAGUAGCUGAUGUGAGAGCAUGAUCAGCCACACGGGCACUGAAACACGGGCCCGACUCCUACGGGAGGCAGCAGUAAGGAAUAUUGGUCAAUGGACGCAAGUCUGAACCAGCCAUGCCGCGUGAAGGAUUAAGGUCCUCUGGAUUGUAAACUUCUUUUAUUUGGGACGAAAAAGGGCCUUUCUAGGUCAACUGACGGUACCAGAUGAAUAAGCACCGGCUAACUCCGUGCCAGCAGCCGCGGUAA
rnacentral:rRNA from 1 species